GUUAUGUUUGUUAGACGACUCGGAGGUCGUUUGUCAUUCUGUUGUUGGAGUUUUUAGGAGACGCGACAUCCGGGCCGGAGCCCUUCCGCCGCAAAGGUGCACAGUGGGGUUUGUGAAGGUCGAGCGGGGAGGCUCCGCUGCACGACCUUUGUAGGGCCGGAGCGGGGCGCCAGCCCCCGUCGUAGAUACGUUAAUGAUCCUUCCGCAGGUUCACCUACGGAAA
rnacentral:misc_RNA from 1 species